rnacentral:misc_RNA from 1 species
AUCUAUCACUAAGUUUUGGAAGGUUUUCUCUUCCUCCUUAGAAAUGUUUUCUCUUUUACCUGUCGUCAUCUCUAAACCCCUUAGUCCAAGAAAACGCAAAGUCAGCUAUAAAUUUGUGGUUCUGCAGAUGAUAGGGAAACUUUCAUUGUUGUUUUUAAUAUUUACGGACUUGUAAGGUCGUUCAGCUUCAAUAAAUAUAUUACAAAAAAAAAAAAAGAA